AUUUUAUUCGAAGAAUACAAAAGAAUACAAGGUGAUUUUCGUAGAAUGGCUCAAAAAUUCUUCUUGUGCAUUCUUUUCGUAGCAGUGCUAUUGGCUUCAGAAGCAACAAGUGGCACAAUAAUGGUUGAAGGCGAAACAAAGGUCUGCGCCAAGAGUAAAGGAAAAUGUCCAGAUAAUAAUGCCGCUUGCUUUGAAGACUGUGUAGAAAGGAAUUACGUCGAUGGCCAUUGUGAGGGCUUCAAUUGUUGCUGUUUCAGUCAUGACUAGAGAUUAGUGUUUAAGAUUUUCAUUAUUAUAAUAAUAUCCGAUCCCUAUUAAUAAUAAACCCAGCUUUUAUGUUUUCCUUGUUACUACUAAUAAGUGGAAAAUUAAUGAAAUAAAGCGUUGAAGUUUUAAAUUAAUGAUA